GCCCGGGUAGCUCAAUCGGCUAGAGCGUAGGACUUUUACAGCAUAUGUAAUAUCAAAUCCUAAGGCUGGGGGUUCGACCCCCCCCUCGGGCG